GGCCGCCAUUUCGGGCUGAUGGAGGAUUCUUCCGGAGGAUGCAGGGUGGGGCCACGUUGCUCAGCCGGCCAGAGGUCUGCAUGUUUUUUGGGCCUGUGGGGGAUGUCCUCUGUGGAACUGCCCAGAGAAAGAGUCAGGACUCAGAUAAAGCCUUGUUUCUAGAGACUCAUCUUUUGAGGACUUAGGACUGUUGGGCCUUUUGAAUGGGGGAAGGUGUGAUCGAUCAACUUGGCAACUCCUGCCCCUGGCUGGCCAGUGGGCAGGGGGCAAGAAGGGGCUGUGGUGCUGGCACCAGGCUCUUGGCCUGGAAGCACCUGGAUGGAGAAACCAAGCCACCUUGCUGCCCCAUCAUCCUGAGGCAAACAAGUUAGCUCAUGCUACAAAACAAGGUGCCUUCAGCCUCCUACCGCCAGCUGCCACCAUGGCUGGUGCUGGUGGCUCUUUUAGAGCAAUUUUUGGAGCUCUCUCACCCACUACUUUCACUUCCCCUGGUCUAAGUGGCCAGCAGGCGGCGUCAUCUGAACUCCGUGAUAACAGUCUCCUCCAGGCUGGCAGGGCCGGGCCGUGGCCCAGGGGGCACUCCUGGCUGUAGAGGCCUGCCGGCCCGGCCCCCCACUCUCCCUCCCCCGGCUCGGGCACGUUACCUGCUGUGCCAAUGAGUUUCUUGGAUUUGUUGAAGAUCUGAUCACCUGGGUUAGGAGGUGGCGCUACGUCCUGGCCCUGCCGCGCCAGCAGAGGGUUGUAAUCCUUUCCAUCAUAGUUUGCGUCAAAGAAUUUCUUAAACCACUGAAUAAACUCAAAAUUAUCUUGGAAUUUUCCUUUCACUAAUUUCUCUACAGGAAUGAUCUGAAAUAGACCACAUAAGCAGAGUACUUUAGCCACCUGCUGCUGUAGGGCUGCCUUCCUCUGCCGAGGGCCACUGCUGUCAGAAAAGCCAGCCCCUGGGCUGCAGCGUCCUCCAUCUUCUCCACCUUCCCCCCUCCCACGGCACCAGAGCAGACAGGUAGGCUUGGCAGGCCCCAGUCUCGGAUCCAGAGACAUCCCUCCUCUACAGGCACUGUGUGGAAGAACUGUGAUGGGAGGUGUCCCUUGGCUCUACUGCCUGCAUGUGGGCUGGGGGUCUGCAGCCACUGAAGCAGGAGAGUGAGCAAAGACACUUUCUUGGGCCCUACAGAGAGACAAAGAAGUGGAACUUCACAGGAGCUGCACACAGAGCUCAGUGUUGGGAAUGGGCAGGGUCCAGAGAGGAGGAAGGGAAAGGAAUGCUGUCAUGAUGGAAUGGCAAGUGUUGUGGGCUUUUCCAUUGUGCCUUGAGCAGGGGGAAAAUUCCCUCUGGAGAGUUGGGAGGUUCAAGCACUGGAAUGACCCCAGCACUCCCUGUUGCCCAGGCUGGUGGGCCAUCUUCUUCCCCAGGGUCACAUGGCUCCUCAGGGCCCCCCAGAGUGCAGGCACCUACUUUGUCGACACCCAUCUUCUUGAAAGCUGCUUGCAGCACCUUGAAGUUGUGGAUGUAUUCAUGCUCUAGCUUGGCCUGGAACUUCACUUUCCUCAAGUGCACGCAGCCGGGGAAGAGCAUGUCCAUGAACUGGCAGUAGGCUGCCCCUGUGGAGAAGGGCGCUGGCUGAGGGGCUCACUGAUCUCCUGGGGCUGCUCUCUCUCACUUCCCCAAACCCUGUCUCCUCUUCUCUUUCCUUGUUCUGGGGCUGGGGCCAUUCCUGCUUUCAGGAUAGACAUGGCCAGAAUCCCCCCAGCUUUCCAAGAAUAGCAGCAGUGACUAUUUAUUGAUGCAUAUUACGAACCAGCACUAUACCAAACACUGCAUGUAGAUAGGGCAAUCCCAACGGCAACUCUAGUUAGUUGGUGAUAUUAUCUCCAUCUUAUGGAUGGGAAAACUGAGGCCUAGGGCAGUAUAUAGUGACUUGCCCAGGGUUGCACCACCAGAAGAAGAGCUGAGAGUUGGACCCAGAGAGGCGAGGUCAGACCUCUGGCUCUCUUGCCGUCCUGGCGCUCAGCUCCCCGCUCCUCCUCUCCCUGCAGUCCUUCUCGCUGCCUCUCCUGCUCUUCUCUUUCCUUGCUCUCAUUUCCUGACUUCAGCUCCAGCCAGUCUGGCUAGUUCAGGGCCUCCAGCUCUCUGCCUUAGUCUAAUCACAAGCUACAGUCAUGGGCUGCCUAACAACGGUGUGGUCAAUGAUGGAUCACAUAUAUGAUGGUGGUCCCAUAGGAUUAUAAUGCCAUAUUUUUAUUGUACCUUUUCUGUGUUUAGAUAUGUUUAGAUGUGCAAAUACUUAGCAUGUGUUAAAACUGUUUGCGGUAUUUAGUACAGAAACAUGCUGUCCCGGUUUUUACCUAGGAGCAGUAGGUAUACCACACAGCUGAGAUGUGUACAGGCUACACCAUCCAGGUUUGUGUAAAUACACUCUGUGAUGUUCACACAUCGCCUGAGGAUGCAUUCCUCUGGGCACAUCCCCAUCAUUCAGCCACGCAUGACUGUAUAUUCCCUGCUGUGGCUGCUCUGCCUUCUGGCCUUUCUUUCCUUCCAGCAGGGCCACUUCCUGUAUUCCCAGCCUCCUACCUGAACAGAGCUGUUCUAUCUUGGUGUAGUUGAGGUGCAAGGAGUCGUUGACCCACGCAAGCAUAUCAUGGCGACUCAGAUUUUCACUGGUCACAGAUGUGGAGUACACAUUGACGGCCAUACCCCAGCUGAAAAGGAGAAAGGUGAGGUAAGCACUGGGGCCUCAUGCAGCUCCUUAGCUAUCAGGAGAGAAGGGGUGUAUGAUACUGGGAAGUAAGAAAUAUUCCCUCCAGAUUGGCCUUGCAUUUUACCCCCAGAGGAGGGGUCUUUAGACAUUUAAUGAGCAUCUACUAUAAUGCUAGACAUGUGCCAGGAGCCAGCAAUUCAAAGUUAAUUAAGAUAUGGCCUCUGCUGGCUGGCGGCGGUAGCUCAUGCCUGUAAUCCCAGCACUUUGGGAGGCUGAAGUGGGCAGAUCAUGAGGUCAGGAGAUCAAGACUAUCCUGGCCAUCAUGGUGAAACCUCGUCUCUACUAAAAAUAUAAAAAUUAGCUGGGUGUAGUGGUGCUCACCUGUAGUCCCAGAUACUUGGGAGGCUGAGGCAGGAGAAUUGCUGGAACCGAGGAGGUAGAGGUUGCAGUGAGCCAAGAUUGUGCCACUGCACUCCAGCCUGCAGCCUGGUGACAGAGCAAGACUGUCUCAAAAAAAAAAAAAAAAAAAAGAUAUGGCCUCUGCCUUGAGGCAUUUACAGACAGGCAGAUCCCCUCAGUAGGGAGUGAUGGGGCAGUGAAACAGGCACAUAAACGUUCAGGAACAGCACAAAGAAGGGCGUGAGUGCAUCUGCUGGGCAGGGUCAGCGAAGGGUUUAGAGCAGAGAUGUUGGAGCCUGAAAGGAAUAGGAAUUUUCCAGACAUAAAAAGGGAUGGGUGGAAGGCAUUCGGGCACAGGGACUAGCAAGAACAAAGGCAGAGCUUAUUCCAGGCACUCUGAGUUGUGGAGCAGGCCCAGGGAGCAGAUUUUUCUGUUGGGGCGUGGCACAAUGAGGUUGGCAGGGACAGGUUGCCAAGGCCUUAGGAGGAGGAAUCUGGACUUUCUAUUUGGAAGCCAUUAGAGGACUUUAAGCAGACAGUAACCUGACCAGAUUUGUGUUUUAGAAAGCCAGCUAACCUUUGCCUCUGCUCUGAAUUCAGACUCCAUAUUCCUGUGGCUGAUGCAGAGGUACCUAAAUUCUCCUUGUCCACACCUUCCCUUAGAACAUGUUUCUGGCUCCUAUGUUCAUUAUCUCAGUGAAUGUCACCACCAGCUAUCAGUUACCACCUUAGAAGCCUGUGGGGUCAUCCUAGACAGCCUCCUCUCCCUCAUGCUCCUACCAAGUCACUCCUCAAGUCCUGGAACCUCACCUCCUCAACCCACCCUGUUCUGCUUACCCUCAGGAUUUAGGCAUACCACUGUCCCUUGGUAUUCAUGAGGGAAUUUGUUCCAGAACAUCCCCCUAUACCCAAAUCAAUGCAUAGUCAAGUCCCUUAUGUAAAAUGAUGUAGUAUUUACAGAUAUCCUCCUGUAUGAUUUAAAUCACCUCUAGACUACUCAUAAGCCUGAUACCUACUACCACGUCACUGUGAUGUAAAUAGUUGUUACACUGUAUUGUUUAGGGAAUCAUGACAUGAAAAAAGAGUCUGUAGGUGUUCAGUACAGAUGCAACAAUCCAUUUUUCUUUCCUGAAUAUUUUUUAUCGAUAUUUGAUUGAAUCCACAGAUCUGGAACCCAUGGAUAUGGAGGGCUGGCUGUAUUUUCUCUCUAGCACAGGCUAGCAGGAGCCUCCUAAAACGCCUUCCAGCCUCCAGUCUCUCCUUCCUCCUAAUCUGUCCUUGACACUGUGUUGUCAGAAUCUACCUAAAAGCAGGUCUGACCACCCCCCUCCCAGCUUCAAGUCCUUUCAGCCAGCAGUCAUGAAAGACACACCCAUCGGCUGAAUUUGCCUUGCAGACUUAAACUGUUAAGCACUUGUAGUGUUAGAAACAUUUUUGAAUUAGUGCCCAAUAUAUUAAAGUUGAGAUGUUUAAUAACGGGAUUUCUGGCUUCUUUUGGCCACUCAGCCUGUGCUCCCACACUGAAACCAGCAGUUGGAGUGGAGCCAGCAGUGAGCCUCCUUCCCACCCCACAGAGGCCAGGGGUCAGCUGCUGCUGAUCACUGACUUGCGUUGUUAAGAAAAGGAGGACAUAUUUCUUGUAACCAGGACUUUAUCAGAAAUGGAGAAACAAGAUAGAUCAAAAGAACUGUGUUUUCCGAAUUGUGAGAACAUGUGUUUCUGGAGUGAGUGAAGAAUAUUUCUCCAGGUUUAAUAUGUAAAGUGUCUCUGUGAAAUAAGAAUACAUCUUAUGUACCUUAUAUUCUUACAGGAAGAAUAUUUCCCUGUUUGUUGCAGGCAUCUGCUGUUAACACGUGACUCCUCCUGACCACUUAUCAAAUCAUAAUGGGACCCCACUCUGCAGCCUUAUCUCCCACUUUGCUUCCCCAGUUAGGAGCCAUGGGCAGCUUCCUACUCACCCUCUGUCUGGAAUGCUGUCCCUCCCACAAAGUUUAUUCAUCCUCUGCUCCAUGGUUCUCAAUUGUGGCCCCUGGACCUGCAGCACUGGGGCUAUAUGGGGAUCAGCUGGUUAGAAAUUGCAAUUCUCUCGCCUUCCCUGAGACCUACUGAAUGCGAAACUGCCUCUGACCAAGAUGCCCGGAGGAUCUGCAGGCACCGCCCCAUUUGAGCAGCACUACUUUACAGAGGGAGACUCAGCAAGGCAUCUGCAGAGCUGUGUACCCUCAUGUUCCUACCCCUGACCCCAAGCACAUAGGAUGGAGCAUAUUUAACUUAAAUGAAUGCUUCGAAGAAAAGUCAUGAGAGAAAACCCUCUUCUUUAUUCCUAGUUCUUCUUCCUUUGAAAAAUAAACCUUGUUCUUCCUUGCCCAGGCAAAGGGAGGCCAGGUGGGGUCAAAAAGCCAAGAGAAACAGAAAUGAGUUAUUGUCUUGGGAGCUUCUAAAGACUCAGGACCUGGCAGAUUCAGAGAUUUCUGAGAGUAAUGUUGACUGCACUUGAGUCUCCUCCUACACAGCGGCUCUGUGCCCACUGCCCUGCAUCUUGGCCCUUGCGCUCACCACUGGACUUGUUCAAAUGCCUUCAUCCCACAUUGGAAGUGCUUUGAAGCCAAGAGUGGGGUAUCCAGGUCUGUCAUAGGCAAGACGUUCAGUAACGUUGUUGAACUAUUGAGUGAUACCUCAUGUCCUCUCCUCUUUCUGAAUCGUGUUUCAUCACCUUCCAGCCUGGGUUCCACCCCCCCACCCCCACCCCAACACCCCACUGGCACUCAGUCUCAGGACUCUGCUUUAGCUCCAGGAGACUUUCUCUGACCCCCGCUCUGCAGGAGGCAUGUGCCCACUAUCCUACAGCACGCUGGGCACAGCUCUUCAUGGCAUCCUGCACAGUCUCUUAAAAUCAUGUGUGAGGCUAGGUGUGGUUUCUCAUGCCUGUAAUCCCAGCGUUUUGGGAAGCCGAGGUGGGCCAAUUACUUGAGACCAGGAGUUCAGGACCAACCAGGCCAACAUGGUGAAAUCCCAUCUCUACUAAAAAUACAAAAAUUAGCCAGGCAUGUAAUCCUGGCUACUAGGGAGGCUGAGGGAGGAGAAUUGCUUGAACCUGGGAGGUAGAGGUUGCAGUGGGCCAAGAUUGUGCCACUGCAUUCCAACCUGGGUGACAGAGCCAGACUCUGUCUCCAAAAAAAAUAAAUCAUGUGUGUGGCUGCCCCUUCCACCUGACUGUAAGCUCUUCAAUGGGCAAGCUGUGUUCCAUUCACGUUCAGCUUCCACACCAGUUCUCGGUGAAUAAUAACUGCCUAACCAUAUUGGUGGAGUGGAAUUGCAGCCUUCAUUUGAUAUGCAUACUUAGCUGGGAUUUACCGGCUUCUGUUGCAAUAGCAAAGGCUGCAACGUUGGGACAUUCUGCCACUUCUCUUGGGGGGAAAAUGCUAGCCAGUCCUUGGUAUGCAGGGAAAAUAUCCAGUUUCCCUGGAGUUUAAAACACAACUAAAGGCCUUGCUUUUAGGGCUCCCAAGAGUCACUAAGACCACAUAGCUACUUGAAAAAUGCCCAGGUCUUCUCAGCAUGGCCAGAAAUUCCCAGGGUGGUCAAUGCCUGAUGAUGGAAGGGCAUGUUCUAUACCUUUGGUCUAAUUCUGGGGUCCCACGAGUGGCAGCAGCGCCUGUGAGAAGGAAGUUGGAAAAAAUGGCUCCUUGCAGGGCCCAGCAAUGAAUCAUGCUGUUACCCACUAUGGGGCUUCUGGGGAAGGGGGUAGCUAGUAGCAGGAACAGAAGCCUCAGUCCUCACUCAGGACUCAACUCAGGUCCUCUCAACUGGUGCUACUCUCUGCCCUGGGGGGGGAGGGUCCAUUCGACUCAGGAGGACUCAUCCAGGGCACCAAGGGGUCUCUACAGGAUUCCUCUGCUUCAUUUGCUAGAGCAGCAUGAGGAAACAGCCUCCUGGUUUCCUUAUGCCUCAUUACACUGGGGAGGGCAGGAUGCCCUUUUAAUUUUCCUCUCCUGGCUUUAACUCUGUAAAUGGAACUAAACAUGGCCAGCAGGUGGCACCCAGGUCCUGAGCAAAAACUCCUUUAAAUGUAUCCCCCCAUCCCCCAGCGCUCCUUUCCAGAGCUCAAUUUAGAGCUCAAAUUGGGAGCCUCUAAGAGCUGGGCUAUCUGUGGGGCAAGGAGCAUUGGGGCUGUUCGAGCAUUGGGGCUGUUCUAAGAUCCUGGACUAAACUGAGCCAGCCUCCCUAUCUCCCAAAACCACAGUUUGAACUCACCAAACAGGUCCAACUUCUGACUGCCUUUUGCGUUGGGGGUUGACUUCGGCCUGGACUCACACCAGACCAGCUGCUGGAAGCAGAGGUAUAUAAAGUAUUUGCCCACGCAUCGGGCUCUAAGUGGACCAGCUGCCUCCAAUUAUAGCAAAUCGUAGCCUGAGGAAACUCUUAUAACACACUCGUUCCCAAGAGCUCCUUCACCUCCUGGGAGAGAAUGGUAGGUAACCACUAGGAGGGGGCAGGCAGCCUCUGUCUGUCCCAAGAGAUGCAGGAGCAGUGCCUUCCAACCUCAUCCACAUUUUUCUGCCAUGAUCUUUGGCACAUGUGACUGUCAGGAGAAACAGACCCUGCCUGGAUUGUGGCAUGUCAUCAUCCAGGCAGAUCCCCAUUCGAGGAUCAGACUGACAACGUGGCCUUGGGAAAAGCCUGUUCUGUAGGGCCUUGACUCCUGCUAUCAGGAAUGGAGUCAAGGAAAAGAAUAGUUGAGGAGGUUUAAUCUGGUGAUUUUGCUGAGUCACUUCUUAUACUAGGACUAUAAGGUUCAAGGUGCAUUAACAGGCAACAGGGAAAGGCAAUUACAGCUCUCACUGCUGGAGGGGAAGCUGCUGGUCAUUCUGCAGACUAAGGCUUUAAAAAUGAUCAUCAAGACCAAAUCCCAGUAACCUGUGGUCAGAGGGGUUUCUAGAGACCAUCUGCUUCCUUCUCAGGUAAUUAGGACUGGACUUAGAUCUAGGCACUUAUAUUCUUAAUUCAUAAAGACGGCUAAUAAGUCUGUACAACUGAAAUUUCACAUUCUAUUACUUAAUGACCUUAUCACCAGCCUAAACUAAUUUUGGCUUUUUGAUUUUACAUCUAUCUUCCACAAAUAUGUCUUGAAGGUCAUUUAGGGGCACUCAGUCUUCUCUAAUUAUCUAGAGCUCCUUUUACCCCAAGUUUAGCCCUGUUCUGGCUGGUCCCUGGAAGAACUUCCUGCAGUUGCCAGACCUUCACCCUCUGCCCAAUGUGGGUAAGAAAGACACAUCAGGUCUACCAGUCCUACAGGAGGUGGCCAGCAUACCUCCAGCAAGCUCCAAAAUGGUAGUGCUUAAGAACACUGGAUCUCCAGGCACAUCACGUGGGUUCAAAUCCUAGAUGUGUACCGUGUCCAAGAUGUCUGACUUGACUUUAGGUCUCAGUUUCCUCAUCUAUAAAAUGGGAACAGUGACAGUUCCCACCUCAUAGAACAGUUAUGAGGAUUAAGUGAGCCAUGGGUACACCAAGGUAAGCACAGAGCCUGACAUUCAAUACGUAUUUGGCAAGUACUGUCAGCAUCGCGGGGACAGACAGUGAAAAUCUAAGGGCAUUUGUUAGAGAAGUACGUGCCUGACACACAGCCAGCCUCUGGUCUCUGCGACCAUGGAAUGGCCAACCCAGAAGGGAGACAGACUACAGAACUUUUCUCUGCCACUUUGCCUACAGACAGCCACCUGGGUUUCCCAAAGCAGGGCUCUGACCACAAUCCCUCCUAAGCUCCAGAUUUCCCAUACAUCCUGCUUUGUAGAUGCCAUCCUACCGGCCAAGACAACUGGAACAGAUGCUGUGGGAUCAGAGGAGAGAGAACUCUGCAGAGCCAGCCAACACGUUUCCUGUUCCUGAAGUGGGGCUAUGCCCAUUGUCACUGGGCUACCUCUUCCUGCCCAGGCCCAAGGGGCUGAAGUCACCUGUUUGGAAAAUCUACAAAAUUGUUACCCCUACCCCCGUGAGUCACACACCCAGGUUAUUCUGGGCUUGCAUGGAGGCAGUAUGUGCAGGUGGGGCUGAGGGGUUCUGAGGGGCUGGGGAGCCAGUCAGCGGGUCACAAAGCUCUGGCAGACCCAGCCAAUCACCUUCUUUUUAUGGCUGAGCAAAGACCUGACUCAUCCAGAGGCUCAGCCUCUCAAAACUGGAUUAGUCAAUGCAGAGACGGGGCAAGUGGAGUAGUUGCAAGGUUGGCCAGGAGCCCAGCAUGCACCCCCUCUCAAUAGAUCCAGGUCAGGGAUCCAGACGGCUGUGGGUUCAGGCGAAGGAAGUCUCACUAUGUUUCCCAGACUGGUUUUGAACUCCUGGGCUCAAGCAAUCAUUCUCCUUAGCCUUCCAAGUAGCUGGGAUUACAGGGUUUGUUGCAGAACACUGCGGGACGUGAGAGCGAGAGGUCAAAGAUGACCCCAAAGUUUCUUGUCCAAGCCACCUGAAGGAUGGAGGAAACUGCAGGAAGAGCACGUUUGAGAGUAAGGUGAAGACCACGAGCUCACUUAAGAUGAUGCUGGGGACACUUCAAAGAACAAUUAAGGAUAUUAAGAAGCAUCAUGUUCCAUGGGCAUAAUAUUCCAUGCUAUUAUUACAUUACCUCUAGCUGUUGUACAUUUUGAUUUUUGAUAUUCCUCAAAUAUAU